GUAUUCAAUUUUAUUCCACGUAUGCUAAAAAUAGAACAAUACAGUGAAGAUUAAUACAGCCCCUGCAAAAGGAUGACAUAAAAAUGUAUGAAAACUUGCUGUAUUUU